CCUACGGGUGGCAGCAGUGGGGAAUUUUGGACAAUGGGGGCAACCCUGAUCCAGCCAUGCCGCGUGUGUGAAGAAGGCCUUCGGGUUGUAAAGCACUUUCGGACGGAACGAAAUCGCGCGGGUGAACAAUCCGCGUGGAUGACGGUACCGUAAGAAGAAGCACCGGCUAACUACGUGCCAGCAGCCGCGGUAAUACGUAGGGUGCGAGCGUUAAUCGGAAUUACUGGGCGUAAAGCGUGCGCAGGCGGCGCCGCAUGUCGAGUGUGAAAUCCCCGGGCUUAACCUGGGAAUUGCGCUCGAAACUACGGUGCUGGAGUGUGGCAGAGGGAGGUGGAAUUCCACGUGUAGCGGUGAAAUGCGUAGAGAUGUGGAGGAACACCGAUGGCGAAGGCAGCCUCCUGGGCCAACACUGACGCUCAUGCACGAAAGCGUGGGGAGCA
rnacentral:rRNA from 1 species